AGUCGAGCGAAUGAGAAGAGCUUGCUCUUCGAUUCAGCGGCGGACGGGUGAGUAAUGCCUAGGAGUCUGCCUGGUAGUGGGGGACAACGUUUCGAAAGGAACGCUAAUACCGCAUACGUCCUACGGGAGAAAGCAGGGGACCUUCGGGCCUUGCGCUAUCAGAUGAGCCUAGGUCGGAUUAGCUAGUUGGUGAGGUAAUGGCUCACCAAGGCGACGAUCCGUAACUGGUCUGAGAGGAUGAUCAGUCACACUGGAACUGAGACACGGUCCAGACUCCUACGGGAGGCAGCAGUGGGGAAUAUUGGACAAUGGGCGAAAGCCUGAUCCAGCCAUGCCGCGUGUGUGAAGAAGGUCUUCGGAUUGUAAAGCACUUUAAGUUGGGAGGAAGGGCAUUAACCUAAUACGUUAGUGUUUUGACGUUACCAACAGAAUAAGCACCGGCUAACUCUGUGCCAGCAGCCGCGGUAAUACAGAGGGUGCAAGCGUUAAUCGGAAUUACUGGGCGUAAAGCGCGCGUAGGUGGUUUGUUAAGUUGAAUGUGAAAGCCCCGGGCUCAACCUGGGAACUGCAUCCAAAACUGGCAAGCUAGAGUACGGUAGAGGGUGGUGGAAUUUCCUGUGUAGCGGUGAAAUGCGUAGAUAUAGGAAGGAACACCAGUGGCGAAGGCGACCACCUGGACUGAUACUGACACUGAGGUGCGAAAGCGU
rnacentral:rRNA from 1 species